CUUAAAAGGCUAGUUAUAUCUGCAUUGCGAUGUAAUUACUCCUAUUAUCUCUACGUAAGGCAUGCAAGUACAACAGUUGCUCAAGAUACAAUGCUAUUCUCCUGCAAAAACGAUAAAUCUACAUUUUUAUACCUUCUGCCAUGGCUCGGACCGUGUUUAAACCGAAGACCUUCCGCAUCGCUCUGUGAAUAGUAAAUAGUAAAUACAUUUAUUUGUUAAGUUAGAUUACAAAAAAUAAACUUUAAAAAAAAAAAAAUUGUCUAGAGUAUAAAUAAUGCAAUAAUCUAACCUAACAAGAGAGCUAGUCAAAUAGAUAAAUCUAAUCAAGAACUAGCCCCCCUGUCAACAAAAAAAAGUAAGAUAGACAUAUAUAUAUAUAUAUAUAUAUAUACGUGGUAGAAAUAAAUUAGAAGACAAAGACAAAACAAACAAAAAAACACAAGAAAAACAAACAAAAAAUCAAUAAAUGAAAUAAGAUAAACAAAAAUUAAACAAAAUUAAAAAAAGAAUAUAGCUAUAUAUAUACAAAAAAAUGAAUAACUAAUUAAACUUAAAUUUAAAUUUAAGUGUAGCAAAUAAAUUAUUAGUUUAUAUAUAUUCCUUAUAAGUAUUUACUUAACAAUUGAUUUGUAAUUAUUUUUUUGCACUGGUUUUUGGAUAGUGAUGACAGCUUUUUAUCACUGUGUUGGUUAUUAAUUGUAUUCCAGCAACGGAUUGAUUGAUAUUUUAUACUAUAAAUUCCAUACCGAGUGUUACUAACAUUUGGAAGUAUUAGGUUAUUGUUUGAUGCAUUUCUAGUAUUAUGGGUAUGAGUAUUUGCAACCAGAGUGAAAAUGCCUUGCAGAGGUUUAGGCAAAUUUUUAUGAUAAUGAUCAUACGCAAAUAAAAAGUCUUUCAGCUUAAUUGUGUCAGGAAAAGUAAGUAUUUUGGAUUUAUUAAAUAAUAGAGAAGUAGGGCUGUUUGCAGGUUUGAAGUUCAUAAUUUUAAUUGCUUUAUUUUGAAGGGAGAUAAUUCUAUUCAGGUAGGUGCUUUUGUUAUGUCCCCAUAUUUAACAUCCAUAAGUUAGAUGUGAUGAGAAGAUAGCAUGAUAUAUAUUAGUUAAAAUAUUAUAGGAAACAUAGUGUCUUAUUUUAGAUAAUAUCCCAAUGGAUCUGGAAAGUUUUACUUUAAGAUUAUCUAUGUGUAUAUGCCAUUUUAAAUGUUUGUCCAGAGUGAUCCCUAAAUAUUUAAUAGAUUCAGAAGGUAAAAUUUUAUGGCCGUUGAUUUUUAUUUUGAUAUCAUAGUCAAUAGAUUUGUUUGGAUGGGUAAAAAGGAUGAUUUCUGUUUUACUAGCAUUUAGGGAUAUUUUGUUGGCCCGGAGCCAGUUGCAAAGGAAUCUUAGAUCAAGGUUUAAUUGCUUCCUUAUUGAUUUUAAAUUAUCACUAAAGUUAGUAUCAUCUGCAACAUGGUGGGCUGUUGAGUAUUUAAUUGCAUUGUUUAGAUCAUUAAUAUAAAUUAGAAAUAGUAAAGGUCCAAGUACAGACCCUUGGGGUACUCCUAUUGUUAUAUUUUGGACAUUUGAAUCAAAACCAUUUAUUGAAACAUAUUGUUUUCUGUUACUAAGGUAUGAUCUGAACCAGGAGUUAGAUAGUCCUCUAAUUCCAUAAUUUUAAAGUUUUUUUAAAAGGAUUGUAUGAUCAACAGUGUCAAAUGCCUUUUGCAGGUCAAUGAAUGUGCCACAUGCAAAGUUGUUGAAAUCUAAAGUUUCUCUUCUUUUCUCUGAAGAGUGCAUUAUUAGUGGAAUGAUUUUGUCGAAAACCAAAUUAUAUUGGGCGGUAAUUGUUACAUUCUAGACUAGAUCCUUUAUUUUUAUAUAUAGGUAUAAUUUUUGCAAUUUUUAAGUUAUCUGGAGAGAUGCCAGUCGAAAAUGAUAGAUUUAUUAUCUCGCAUAGGGGUGUUGAUACAUUGAAUUUAAUAAGUUUAAAAAUAUUGCUGGGUAUACUAAAAGGUCCGUUUGUUUUAUUUUCAUUUAAAGAAGAUAUCAGUGGUAUUAUUUCAUUUUCAGUAGUAGGAUUGAUAAAAAAAGAAUUGUGAUUUGCGUCAUUAAGGUAAUUAUGGAAUGGUUUAUUAGAAGGUGAAAUUUUAUUUUAAAUUUUUCUCCUACUGUGGAAAAAUAGUUAUUAAAGCAGUUAGCAAUAUCAACAGGAUUAUUGUUAAUUUUAUUGGUAAUUUUUAGGCUAGUAGGAACAGUGGAUUUCAUUUUGGAUAUGCUAAUAAUGGUUUUGAUUCCGUCCCAAGUUUUUCUAAUAUUAUUCGAGUUUUCAAUAAAAUAUUUUUGAUAAUGUUGUUUUUUACUUUUUCUGAUCAAAUUAACAAUUAAAUUUCUGUAUUGUUUAUAAUUAUUGUGUAACAUAUUUUUAUAAUUAUCGUUCUUUCUGUAAUUUAUGAAUUUUUUCAGUAAUUUAUCUCUUAUAGUGAUAGAUUUACAUAUUCCUUUUGUAAUCCAUGCUUUAGAUUGUUGCUUAUAUUGUUUUUUUGACAUCUUCUUUAAAGAAUUGGAUUUUAUGUUCAAAUUUGGAACCAAUAAAAAUUGAGGUAAAUGAUCAGAUAUGGAUGAAGUUAGGUUUCCUGAGACACAAUUGGAAAAUUCAAGACAGUUCGAAAAUAUGUUAUCAAUUAGCGUUUUAGAUCUUGGUGUUAUUCUUGUUGGUAGUGUAAUAUGUGGUAUACAGAGAUUUGAAAACAAAUUAAUAAUGAAAUCUGAACUUUGGUCGUCUUUACUGAUGUUGAGUAAAUUUAUAUUAAAAUCACCGGAUAUAAAAAUACUUUUGUCUUCAUUCAUAGUUUUGUUAAUUAUUGGUUGAAAAUAGUUAGAGUUAAAAUCAUCAAUUGACAUUCCUGGAUGUUUGUACACACAGCCUACAAUUGUAUUUUUUCUUACGAGGACUAAUUAUUUCAAUAAAUAUAGAUUCUAAUUCUUUAGAAUUGUAUAUAUUCAGAUCAUCUCGAAUCUUACAAUUAAAGUGAUUGCGUACAUUUAAUAAUGUCCCUCCUGCACUGGAUUCAGUAGGAGUGUGGAAUAGUUGAUAGCCUUCUAGAUUAAUAUCGUAGUUUGGAUUCAAAUUUUUCAUAAUUUUUGUUUCAGUAAUAGCUAAAAUGCUAAAAUCAAAAUUUAAGAUAUUUAAUAUGGUCUCACGAUCGUGUUUAUGUCUAGAUAAAGAAGCUAUAUUCAGAUGGAAAAUAGAGAAGAAAUUUUCAGAUUUAAAUUUUGACGAACAGAAGUCAUUGAUAUCAUAAUAUUGACAAUUAAUGGUUGGAUUAUCAUCAUCAUUAGCUUUAUUCAUGUUGGAUGACAAAUUGUUAAAUUCUUUUAGAAGAGCCUCGAUAUUUUCUGAAGGUUUCAUAUUAAGUUGAGAAGAUGUGUUACAUUUAAAAUUUAUGUUUUUUGAAUUGAGAAAAAAUUGAUCAUUAUUUAGAUUUUGAAAAGGUAGUGUUUUAGCUGUGCAAUCAAUACAAAACCAUGGUGUUGUGGACUGUUUUAGUAAAUUAUAACUGGUAUUAUCUAAGUUGUUACAUUUUAUAUGAAUCCAUUGGUUGCUCGGUGGUUAUUAUUAACAUUUUUUUGCAAAUUUUACAGGGAAAAUUGGUCAUAGGUUGUUAAUUUGUAUAAAAGUAAAUAAGUGCUAUAGGAAAAUAAAUAAAUAAAUAUUAAUAAUAAAAAAAAAAAUAAAAAAAAAAAUAAAAAAUCAAAAUGAAAAAAAUAUAUAUAUAUAUAUAUAUAUA